GACGAACGCUGGCGGCGUGCCUAAUACAUGCAAGUUGAGCGCUGAAGGUUGGUACUUGUACCAACUGGAUGAGCAGCGAACGGGUGAGUAACGCGUGGGGAAUCUGCCUUUGAGCGGGGGACAACAUUUGGAAACGAAUGCUAAUACCGCAUAAAAACUUUAAACACAAGUUUUAAGUUUGAAAGAUGCAAUUGCAUCACUCAAAGAUGAUCCCGCGUUGUAUUAGCUAGUUGGUGAGGUAAAGGCUCACCAAGGCGAUGAUACAUAGCCGACCUGAGAGGGUGAUCGGCCACAUUGGGACUGAGACACGGCCCAAACUCCUACGGGAGGCAGCAGUAGGGAAUCUUCGGAAAUGGACGAAAGUCUGACCGAGCAACGCCGCGUGAGUGAAGAAGGUUUUCGGAUCGUAAAACUCUGUUGGUAGAGAAGAACGUUGGUGAGAGUGGAAAGCUCAUCAAGUGACGGUAACUACACAGAAAGGGACGGCUAACUACGUG
rnacentral:rRNA from 1 species